CAUGUGGCCGUUGUACAGGGACCAGCCCAACAUGGCUUCCAACACAGAGACCAGAAGGACCCAAUAAGAGACCGAAGACACGACUGAUAAUACAGAAAGGAGGGUGAUGCUGUGUGCAAGGCAGAUACAAGAUGGUUUUUCCAUAAGAGGAAGUGAUCAUGGCAACCAUGACCUUCUCUGACCUUCUCUCUUCCAAGAGGCUGUUGGGAAGGUGGGAUGACCUAGGAUUGACCUUGGACUUGACAUCACAGAAGCCAUUUCAACCUUCACAGGGUUUCCUCAGCAGUGCCCCGGAGCAGGGACCGCGCCAGCCAGCAGAAACAGCUAGUUGUUGUCUGCAGUGAAGAAUAAUUGGAAGCAUGGUGCCUGUUUCUUUUCCUCUCAUCCUCGUCUACGGCCAAACGUUGGUUUCUCAUUUCUAGAAGAUGAAAGAUGUGAUGACUCAGGAAAAACUUGCUGCUCGAGAUGUGAGUCUUCAGAUGUUCCUGCCGCCAUAUCUGACAGCUGCUGCCAAGAUUCCCUGGUGGGAUGGACUCUUAUACCUCAACAACCAGAAGCCCAAGUAAACUCUUCUAUAAAUUGAAUGACUCAUGCUUAAAAAAAAAAACAAAAAACAAACUAUCUUUAUUUUGUGUGCAUUGGUGUUUUGCCUACAUAUAUGUCUGUGUGAGAGUGUCAGAUUCCUUGGAACUGUAGCUACAGAUAGUUGUGAGCCACCAUGUGGGUGCUGGGACUUGAACCCCAGUCCUCUAGAAGAGCAGCUGGUAGGUACUCUUAACCACUGGACCAUCCCUCUAGACCCUGAUCAUGGUGUUUUAACUACAGCAAAAGAAAAGUAAUUAGCACAAUCAGGUUAGCCAGAGGGCACACCUGUGACAGAUUUUUCCUAAGUGCAUUCAUCAGGGGGAGGCCCACCCUGGAUGGGGGCAGCACCCUUCCUUGGGUUUGGGUCUUAGAAAGAAUAAACACAGAGAGGGAGCUGAGCACAAGCCAGCAAGCACAAGCUAAGCAAGCACUGUCCAGUCUUCCUCUGCUUUGACUGAGGAUGUGACGUGUCUAGCUGCUUCAGGUUUCUGCCUCGAAUCCCCUGCAGUCAUAGACUAUAACCUGGAAUUGUGAGCCAAAAGAAAAACAAAAGAAAACAAAAUCCAUUUUCUCCCCAUAUGUUGCUUUUUGGUCAAAGCAUUUGAUCCCAGUAACAGAAAAGAAAUGAGGACAGGCAAGAAGAGGCCAUACCACAGAGCCAGGAGCAGGUUGUAGUGCCAAGUUGCAGAGGCCGGGGAGGAGCAUAGGUGCAGAGCAGCCGCUGUCAGAAUGUUCAGGGAAAAGGAGAAGAGAGGAUGUGUCAGGGAAGUGAGCUGGCUCAGUCCAUAACAGCAUGGUCUUGCUGUCUUUUACAGGGUCUGAAGUCUACCUUAGUGCAGUGGGAGCCACUA
rnacentral:lncRNA from 1 species